ensembl:lncRNA TEX14BP testis expressed 14B, pseudogene
GCAGGCGCUGCGGGAGGCCACUGGUGCUCAAGCACCUCGGAUUCCCGCUCAUACAGCCGGCCGGAUCAUGUGGCAGUCAGGUGGCGACCACUAUCUAGCCCAACGUUGCUGGAGUUGUUGCAGCUCUGCCGGGCCCACAUAUCAGCGUUCGUGCAUGACGGUGAGUUGCCACCCAUGGCAUCUCUGGACCAGUUGCAGGCCAGAUUUGGGAACAGCCCGCCUGGCUCCCUGUCCUCCCUGAGGCUGAUGCAGGCAGACAGCCUCCUGUGGAUGGGUCACAAAAUGACUGUGCAGCAGCCGAAGGCCCCUGGAACCCAGACAGAUGUGCUACUGGCUGACCUUCAGCACUGCAGGCAGCAGAAGGGCUACCCCUGGGGAGGCCCAGGCCCAGGGCUUCCCCCGCCCCCUGAACUACACCCAUGGCUGCCACUUCAGCUGAUCUGCGGUGACAUGCCCACCACCACCUCAGACCUCUACAGCUUCUGCAUCCUGAUCCAGGAGGUCUUCACUGGCACCCGGUACUGAGCUGACUAGAGGAGGUCUCUUCUCCAGCCUGCAGAAGUGAGACCCGAGGCCUUGGAUGGGAGGACCCCAGGUAACCCUAGGUCUUUAUCCCUGAGGUAACCCUAGGUCUACCUGUGCCUCACUGCUCCCCAGGAUGGACCUGCUGGAGGAGAUCAUAGCAGAGCUACAAAAAGGAUGUCAGCUUGGAGAAAAGCCCAGCCUGAGCCCCACUCCUGACCUAGACUCCCAGGGUGCCCAUGGUUCCCCUCUCUGCAGAUACCACCUCUCAGAGGCUCCCAGGAGUAACUCCUGCCUUGGUGCCUCCCCAAAAGGAAAUAGAAUGAUAAAGUGCC